rnacentral:rRNA from 1 species
UACGUAGGGUGCAAGCGUUGUCCGGAAUUAUUGGGCGUAAAGAGCUCGUAGGCGGUCUGUCGCGUCGGAUGUGAAAACCCAGGGCUCAACCCUGGGCCUGCAUUCGAUACGGGCAGACUAGAGUUCGGUAGGGGAGGCUGGAAUUCCUGGUGUAGCGGUGAAAUGCGCAGAUAUCAGGAGGAACACCGGUGGCGAAGGCGGGUCUCUGGGCCGAAACUGACGCUGAGGAGCGAAAGCGUGGGGAGCAAACAGG